GCUUUUUCACAACGCCAGGGU
rnacentral:miRNA from 1 species